AUUGAACGCUGGCGGCAUGCUUUACACAUGCAAGUCGAACGGUAACAGGCCGCAAGGUGCUGACGAGUGGCGAACGGGUGAGUAAUGCAUCGGAACGUGCCCGGUCGUGGGGGAUAACGCAGCGAAAGCUGCGCUAAUACCGCAUACGAUCUAUGGAUGAAAGCGGGGGACCGUAAGGCCUCGCGCGAUUGGAGCGGCCGAUGUCAGAUUAGGUAGUUGGUGGGGUAAAGGCUCACCAAGCCAACGAUCUGUAGCUGGUCUGAGAGGACGACCAGCCACACUGGGACUGAGACACGGCCCAGACUCCUACGGGAGGCAGCAGUGGGGAAUUUUGGACAAUGGGCGCAAGCCUGAUCCAGCAAUGCCGCGUGCAGGAAGAAGGCCUUCGGGUUGUAAACUGCCUUUGUACGGAACGAAAAGGCUCUGGUUAAUACCUGGGGCUCAUGACGGUACCGUAAGAAUAAGCACCGGCUAACUACGUGCCAGCCGCCGCCGUAAUAC
rnacentral:rRNA from 1 species